rnacentral:rRNA from 1 species
GCUCGCGGCCUAUCAGCUAGUUGGUGAGGUAAUGGCUCACCAAGGCGACGACGGGUAGCCGGCCUGAGAGGGCGACCGGCCACACUGGGACUGAGACACGGCCCAGACUCCUACGGGAGGCAGCAGUGGGGAAUAUUGCACAAUGGGCGAAAGCCUGAUGCAGCGACGCCGCGUGAGGGAUGACGGCCUUCGGGUUGUAAACCUCUUUCAGCAGGGAAGAAGCGAAAGUGACGGUACCUGCAGAAGAAGCACCGGCUAACUACGUGCCAGCAGCCGCGGUAAUACGUAGGGUGCGAGCGUUGUCCGGAAUUAUUGGGCGUAAAGAGCUUGUAGGCGGUUUGUCGCGUCUGCAGUGAAAAUCCGAGGCUCAACCUCGGACUUGCUGUGGGUACGGGCAGACUAGAGUAUGGUAGGGGAGACCGGAAUUCCUGGUGUAGCGGUGGAUUGCUCAGAUAUCAGGAGGAACACCGAUGGCGAAGGCAGCGUCUCUG